GGCUCUCCCAGGCGCGCCUCAACUCCGCGGCUUCGCCGGCUCAGGCUCCGGAUUUACUAGAAGCCAUUUUGUCUCCCCCACCCCUUCCCUCCCCUCCCCUCCCCUCUGCCCUCCCCGCCCCCACCACUUCCCCCUUUUGUUAAUUAAAACUAAGAAGUCGGAAUGGGAACGAGGUGCCCAGCUCCCGUGGAGAAAGCUUAAGGACACCACGCCAGUGUUUUCCUGCCUUCCUUCCGAGAUGGAAAGAGGAGCUCCUAGCUCACUUAAGCCGGGGUAGGGCUGGUUCUCCUUUCCGAGCCAAAAUCCCAGGCGAUGGUGAAUUAUGAACGUGCCACACCAUGAAGCUCUUGUGGCAGGUAACUGUGCACCACCACACCUGGAAUGCCAUCCUGCUCCCAGUCGUCUACCUCACGGCGCAAGUGUGGAUUCUGUGUGCAGCCAUCGCUGCUGCCGCCUCAGCCGGGCCCCAGAACUGCCCCUCUGUCUGCUCGUGCAGUAACCAGUUCAGCAAGGUGGUGUGCACCCGCCGGGGCCUCUCCGAAGUCCCGCAGGGUAUUCCCUCCAACACCCGGUACCUCAACCUCAUGGAGAACAACAUCCAGAUGAUCCAGGCCGACACCUUCCGCCACCUCCACCACCUGGAGGUCCUGCAGUUGGGCAGGAACUCCAUCCGGCAGAUUGAGGUGGGGGCCUUCAAUGGCCUGGCCAGCCUCAACACCCUGGAGCUGUUCGACAACUGGCUGACAGUCAUCCCUAGCGGGGCCUUUGAAUACCUGUCCAAGCUGCGGGAGCUCUGGCUUCGCAACAACCCCAUCGAAAGCAUCCCCUCUUACGCCUUCAACCGGGUGCCCUCCCUCAUGCGCCUGGACUUGGGGGAGCUCAAGAAGCUGGAGUAUAUCUCCGAGGGAGCUUUUGAGGGGCUGUUCAACCUCAAAUACCUGAACUUGGGCAUGUGCAACAUUAAAGACAUGCCCAAUCUCACCCCCCUGGUGGGGCUGGAGGAGCUGGAGAUGUCAGGGAACCACUUCCCUGAGAUCAGGCCUGGCUCCUUCCACGGCCUGAGCUCCCUCAAGAAGCUCUGGGUCAUGAACUCACAGGUCAGCCUGAUUGAGCGGAAUGCUUUUGACGGGCUGGCUUCACUUGUGGAACUCAACUUGGCCCACAAUAACCUCUCUUCUUUGCCCCAUGACCUCUUUACCCCGCUGAGGUACCUGGUGGAGUUGCACCUACACCACAAUCCUUGGAACUGUGAUUGUGACAUUCUGUGGCUAGCCUGGUGGCUUCGAGAGUAUAUACCCACCAAUUCCACCUGCUGUGGCCGCUGUCAUGCUCCCAUGCACAUGCGAGGCCGCUACCUCGUGGAGGUGGACCAGGCCUCUUUCCAGUGCUCUGCCCCCUUCAUCAUGGAUGCACCUCGAGACCUCAAUAUUUCUGAGGGUCGGAUGGCAGAACUUAAGUGUCGGACUCCCCCUAUGUCCUCCGUGAAGUGGUUGCUGCCCAAUGGGACAGUGCUCAGCCACGCCUCCCGCCACCCACGGAUCUCUGUCCUCAACGACGGCACCUUGAACUUUUCCCACGUGCUGCUUUCAGACACUGGGGUAUACACAUGCAUGGUGACCAAUGUGGCAGGCAACUCCAACGCCUCGGCCUACCUAAAUGUGAGCACGGCCGAGCUCAACACCUCCAACUACAGCUUCUUCACCACAGUAACAGUGGAGACCACAGAGAUCUCGCCUGAGGACACAACGCGAAAGUACAAGCCUGUUCCUACCACGUCCACUGGUUACCAGCCGGCAUAUACCACCUCUACCACGGUGCUCAUUCAGACCACCCGUGUUCCCAAGCAGGUGGCAGUACCCGCGACAGACACCACUGACAAGAUGCAAACCAGUCUGGAUGAAGUCAUGAAGACCACCAAGAUCAUAAUUGGCUGCUUUGUGGCAGUGACUCUGCUAGCUGCCGCCAUGUUGAUUGUCUUCUAUAAACUUCGUAAGCGGCACCAGCAGCGGAGUACAGUCACAGCCGCCCGGACUGUUGAGAUUAUCCAGGUGGACGAAGACAUCCCAGCAGCAACAUCGGCAGCAGCAACAGCAGCUCCGUCCGGUGUAUCAGACAUAGCAGGAAUGAGGCUGCCUUGGCUGAAGGAAGAAGAUGGUGCAUAUCUGGAGCCCCAGUGGAGCAGGACUAUUUGCCAUCUGCUGCACUAGUUGCCUCGUCUCCAUAUCAGGCCUUGUCUGUAGUUUGCUGCAAAUAUUGGGAGCCGAGCCACUUCCCACCCAUGGAAAGCCUUGAACCCUUUGUAUUCUGGCUGCCAAGAUGAUCUGAAAGCAGGGAGCCACUUUUCAGCUUAGGGAAAAACAUGUGCAUUAAAUGGAAGUAGAUUCUUUUUUUCCCUCCCUCUCGCCACUCCCAGCCAUUUUUAAAGCUUUAUACUAAAAAGGAGGAAGAUCUGUCUGACAAAGCUGAGGAAGAUGAUGGAACUGCCAGGCCAGAAUGGUUUAUUAAUGAUCCAUGGGAAAAAAACAAUCGUCCUGCUGGCAGCUUCACAUGUAAUUAACCAGCUUCACAGAGAGCUGGCUGCCUUCUCCAGGCCUGGCAUCCGCAGACCGCAGAGCUACCUGACACAGCAACACUGGGUUUCUAGUGAAAUCUCCCUACUGGGAGAGGGGCAUCCAAAAUAGUGACCUCAACCCACUCGGCGCUCAGGAAACAAGACCGAGAUGGCAGUGCUCCUCUGGAGAAGGCUGGCUGUGUGCUCGGGCUGACACAAAGACUGCGACCUCCAUGCUGGCAACAACCAGCCCUGGGAACUGCCACUCCCACUGCUCACCAUUAACUCACUCAGUUGCAGUGACAAUGUAAGAGAAGACCUGCAUCAACAGAGAAAAAGCAGAGAGCCCUCACUGUUGGCAGAUGAGUUUCCAAAUACCCGCAUGGCAAGUGGAGAACAUGGCAAAGAUGCUCAAACCAUUAUUCCUUAGACAUCCAUGAGAACACUCACCAAAGCUCAAGAAGCAGUGACUAUUGAGGAUGAUUAAAGAGGUAAGAGAAACCAGAAUUGUUACUAGGAGCAUCUGAUAUGUCUAAAUGAAAUAAAUGGCACCCAGCUGUCCUAGCACAAACCCUACCUCUUGGGGGAGUCCAGCAGUCUCUUCCUCCUGAUAACAUUUUUCCAUUUGUUCUAGGUCAUAGGCCCUACAUAGCUAUAAGAGAGGGAGACCAGGAGACUGAAUAUACCUGGCAAUAGCUAUCUUCCAUAGGAAUGGCUCAUUAAGAAUACCAUUUCAUGUCAGAUGGGUAUUGGAAUACCAUGAGUGGCAAGGGUUCUGCUUAGCUAGGCUCUGUUUCAAGGACUUUCAUGACCUUAUGUUUUCCAGUAUGUGCAUUCUCCAAUGGCAAUCACUGCCCACUAUCCUCAUCAUCCAGCCUCAAUUGAGAUGAGGCAUAAAGUAAGUACUAUGGACCCUUCUAGCAGAAAAAAUGCAAGAGGAAAUCACAUGUGAGGCUUUUACGUCUUUACUCUGGGCUGAGCUGGGUCAGACCUAAAGAUGGAGAGGAAAAGUGAAACUGUCAGGUCUAAGGACUGUAUUUCUUCCUUUUUUUUUUUUUUUUUUUUGAUAGGAACAACAUUAAGAAAAACAAAUUGAUCUGACGAGAAAACAUAAAACUCCCUUAAGGAAGAGUUUACUAUAGUAGGGACCCAUUCCCUAGGGGAAGGGAAGGGAAGCGUCUGCUGAAAAGGAUUUUCUUCCUUGGGCUAGAAUUACAUCCCCGAGGCCUUCCUACAUGUUCCAAGGAGGCCAAAUCUCGUGUGGUCCUAAACUAUUCCUCAUUCCACUCCUAAUCCCAACAGCCAUCCUGGGAUAGGAGCACUAGCCUCUGGAGAGCAGUGAGGCCUAUCAAACCUACACCAGUCAGCCUGUAUGACAUAAUUACAGAUAAUAUAGGAUCUUGGCCAAGCCAAUGAAAAAUUAGGCACAGUACCUAUUUCAGAAGAAUGGAUGCAAUUCUAUGCUUGACUGGCUAUGAAAGUUCUAAGGAGAGGAAUAGGGAAACAGCUGAGCUGAGCCAGCAGCUUUGCAGAGAGGAAUCCCACUGGAGCCAGCACAGCACUGGCACCUAUCAGCACAUGCUGUUGAGCUCACUUGGGGAAGGCCACCAGUGACUGGAGACUCGGCUCCUUCCACACAUUAAAAGCUGAUAGGGGAAGCCCAGCAGUCAGGGGAAGAAAGGCAAUGGGGCAGCGUCCCCCAUGGUACAUUUCUACCUCAACUCUUCUCCUUGGGAUGCCACUUUCAUUUAGGGGCUGGAAUGGGAUUUGAGGUCCUGCCCUCUAGGGCUUUUGGAAGUACUUCGCAAAGGGCCAGGAGCCCAGAAGUGAAGGGGCUGUAAUAGACAGAUAACAACCUGGUAUUCAGGAAGAGCUUAUAGCCCAUCUCCGAACAGGAAUUUGUUGACCUGAACUUCCAAAUUAACUCCUCGCUCAUUUAGCAGUCUAAUCCACAAAACAGAAACAUACCAGAGAGGGAGAGAUUUGCAGACUAUGUUUGGAGAGUGAAGGGACAUGAAUGGUUUCUAUUUGAACACUAAACAUUUUUCAAAACACUCAUCAUUAUCUCAUUACUUUUAAAUAUACUGGCUGGACAGAUAGGGAGACCCAGGCAGGUGAGGGUCCUAUAGUAAGUGCACAGUCAGGUUUUGGCUAUGGACUUUUUCAAUAAGAAGUUGAUGAAUUAGCAGCCAUGUGUCCAGCCUCAAUACUUCAACAGUUUUCCUCCCACCCUGACAAAUGCCGAGCUUGGAGAGCUUUCCUAAAGAACCAUAAAGGACAACAAAAUAACAGGCCUUCUUCCCAUUCUCUAGAAUUAGGUCACAGGGAAUCAAUUAGUUGAUUUGACAAAUAUUUAUUUGUUGAGUAUCUCUUAUAUACUAAGCACUGGAGUACAAAGACAAAACAUGGUUCCUGUCUGUGAGGAGCUUACAAGCUAGCGGGGAGAGACUUGGGUCAUAGAUCCCUUGUAUACUAUUGGUAAGUACACAACAGAUGUAUGCUGUGGGAACUGAUGGAAGGAUAUCUCAUCUAGGCUGGGAGAGCAAGGGAAGGCUUCCAAGAAAAAGUGAUGCACCUUCCAGAACAGGCGUGAACAGGUGUGAAAGCAAGCAAGGGGGAUGACUGAUGUGCUGGGCUGAGAGUGUUAAGUCUACCUGAGAGAUGGGAGAGACAAAAUGUUGGUAUAUAUGGCGAACUGCCAGUAUAACAGGUCUAUUCUGAUAAGGCACAAAUUAGGAAGUGAGUGGGGAUAGUGAGACAUAAAGUUGGAGAGGUUAUCAAGAAUAUAUGUAAACUGAGAUGAGACUUUAUCCCAGAGGCAAUGGGAAGUUAUAUAUAUAUUUUUUUUAAACAAAUGCACCUACACAGAUCUGUCUUUUAAGAAAGAUUAGAUACAGGAAUACAGACAUACAUGAACAAAUGGGAAAAGUAAGGCCCACAAAAAUCAAACAGCAGAUGAAGCAGGAAUCAGACAAUCAAUAGACACAGGAGCUGUGGCAAGAGCAGAGUAAAUAUUUAGGGCAGGCAUGGGCAUAGCCAGUCCUUCAAAUUCCUCGGCAGUCUUGGAAGCAUCCAGGAUCAGAAUCCAUGCCCUACAGAAGACUGACAGUCAAUGUGGGACCUUCAGGGAAGUCCUCUACUAUUCCUUUAACUAGUUCCAGGUAUUCUAUGGUUGAAAAAUGGUAAAAUAUGGCUAAAAUAAUUAUUGCCUUCUAAAAGCAAAACUGGCAAGAUUUGAAGAGAAAAAGCAUUUGAAUUGGAAUGCAGAUAGUUGAGUUUUAGUAUAUGUCUUACCAUUAGCUCUGUGAACAGAGGCAAGUUACUGUGCAUUUUGGUUUCUUGAACUGUAAAACAGGGUUAGUAUUUUUCUUAUAGGUUUGCUGUGAGAUUAAAAUGAAAUAUUAUGCAUGAAAACACUUUUAAAACGAGAAAAUGCUGUAUAAAAUUAAGGUUUGAUCACUAUUAAGACAGGAGUUUUUCUUACCUGAGCCUUCUUCAAAGAAAAUAGCCCUUAACUAAGAAUAAACUGCUUGAAAUUAAA